rnacentral:rRNA from 1 species
UACGUAGGGUGCAAGCGUUGUCCGGAAUUAUUGGGCGUAAAGAGCUCGUAGGCGGCCUGUUGCGUCCGCUGUGAAAACCCGGAGCUCAACUCCGGGCCUGCAGUCGAUACGGGCAGACUGGAGUUCGGCAGGGGAGACUGGAAUUCCUGGUGUAGCGGUGAAAUGCGCAGAUAUCAGGAGGAACACCGGUGGCGAAGGCGGGUCUCUGGGCCGAUACUGACGCUGAGGAGCGAAAGCGUGGGGAGCAAACAGG